UACGAAGGGGGCUAGCGUUGUUCGGAAUUACUGGGCGUAAAGCGCGCGCAGGCGGUCUUUUAAGUCGGAUGUGAAAGCCCUUGGCUCAACUGAGGAAGUGCACCCGAAACUGAGUGGCUAGAGUCCGAAAGAGGGUCGCGGAAUUCCCGGUGUAGAGGUGAAAUUCGUAGAUAUCGGGAGGAACACCGGUGGCGAAGGCGGCGACCUGGGUCGAUACUGACGCUGAUGCGCGAAAGCGUGGGGAGCAAACAGG
rnacentral:rRNA from 1 species